rnacentral:misc_RNA from 1 species
ACGGCCCUUAAAACCUAACAAGGGGCCGUCAGAAGGAAGAAGAAGGAGGCAAUGAAAUCUCCUUAGAUCUAGACGACCUUGGAGACAGAAAACCCCAAGAGUGAAGCAAUAAGCAGAAAAGAAAGAGGAGUGAAGAUAGAACCCUAGAUUAAAGAGGAAAGAAGAAAAGGGGGGAAAACCCCCCCAAAGACAAAGAGUGAGGAAAGCGGAUCUGACCUUGAAAAGGUAAAAUUGAAGGUUGAAACAGAGAGAUCUUAAAGCAGAGAGAAGUGUUGGAGUGGGCUGGAAGGAUCAGGCAAUGGAG